rnacentral:rRNA from 1 species
UACGUAGGGGGCAAGCGUUGUCCGGAAUUAUUGGGCGUAAAGCGCGCGCAGGCGGUCCUUUAAGUCUGAUGUGAAAGCCCACGGCUCAACCGUGGAGGGUCAUUGGAAACUGGGGAACUUGAGUACAGAAGAGAAGAGUGGAAUUCCACGUGUAGCGGUGAAAUGCGUAGAGAUGUGGAGGAACACCAGUGGCGAAGGCGACUCUUUGGUCUGUAACUGACGCUGAGGCGCGAAAGCGUGGGGAGCAAACAGG